GUGUCAGCAGCCGCGGUAAUACGUAGGGGGCGAGCGUUGCUCGGAAUUACUGGGCGUAAAGGGAGUGCAGGCGGCCUGUUAAGUCAAAGAUGAAAUCCCGAGGCUUAACUUCGGAAUGGUCUUUGAUACUGGCGGGCUUGAGGCUGGUUGAGGCGAGCGGAAUUCCCGGUGGAGCGGUGAAAUGCGUAGAUAUCGGGAGGAACACCAGAGGCGAAGGCGGCUCGCUAAACUAGUCCUGACGCUGAGACUCGAAAGCUAGGGGAGCAAACGGGAUUAGAUACCCCGGUAGUCCUAGCUGUAAACGAUGGACACUAGAUGUUCCCGCGUUCAAGCGGGAGUGUCGUAGCUAACGCGUUAAGUGUCCCGCCUGGGGAGUACGGUCGCAAGGCUGAA
rnacentral:rRNA from 1 species